UUUAAUUAAUUUAUUAUAUUAAUAUAUUAAAAUUAUUCAAAAUGUAAAAAAACAUUUAUUAUAUAGAAAGACGAUAAGACCCUAUUGAACUUUACUUUAGUUAAACUGGGGUAGUAAUUUAAUUAUAAUUUUAAUUUAAAUAUUUAUAUAUAAAUCUUAAAAAUUAAAUAAAUAAGUUACCAUAGGGAUAACAGCGCAAUUAUAUUUUAAAGACCUUAUAUAAAAAUAAGAUUACGACCUCGAUGUUGAAUUAAUAACCUAAUUUAAGCAAAGUUAAAAAAAGGAAGUCUGUUCGACUUUUAAAAAAUUACAUGAUUUGAGUUCAGACCGGUGUAAGCCAGGUCGGUUUCUAUCUUCUCAUAAUUUUUUACAGUACGAAAGGACCUAAAAAUAUUUAAAUUUUUAAUUGGCAGAUAAAUGCAUUAGAAUUAGAAUCUAAUUAAAAUAAG
rnacentral:rRNA from 1 species